GGGGAAUUUUGGACAAUGGGGGAAACCCUGAUCCAGCCAUCCCGCGUGUGCGAUGAAGGCCUUCGGGUUGUAAAGCACUUUUGGCAGGAAAGAAACGUCAUGGGUUAAUACCCCGUGAAACUGACGGUACCUGCAGAAUAAGCACCGGCUAACUACGUGCCAGCAGCCGCGGUAAUACGUAGGGUGCAAGCGUUAAUCGGAAUUACUGGGCGUAAAGCGUGCGCAGGCGGUUCGGAAAGAAAGAUGUGAAAUCCCAGAGCUUAACUUUGGAACUGCAUUUUUAACUACCGGGCUAGAGUGUGUCAGAGGGAGGUGGAAUUCCGCGUGUAGCAGUGAAAUGCGUAGAUAUGCGGAGGAACACCGAUGGCGAAGGCAGCCUCCUGGGAUAACACUGACGCUCAUGCACGAAAGCGUGGGGAGCAAACAGGAUUAGAUACCCUGGUAGUCCACGCCCUAAACGAUGUCAACUAGCUGUUGGGGNCUUCGGACCUUGGUAGCGCAGCUAACGCGUGAAGUUGACCGCCUGGGGAGUACGGUCGCAAGAUU
rnacentral:rRNA from 1 species